rnacentral:rRNA from 1 species
AGUAAAUAGAUACCCGGGUAGUCCACGCCGUAAACGAUGUCGACUUGGAGGUUGUGCCCUUGAGGCGUGGCUUCCGGAGCUAAACGCGUUAAAGUCGACCGCCUGGGGAGUACGGCCGCAAGGUUAAAACUCAAAUGAAUUGACGGGGCCCGCACAAGCGGUGGAGCAUGUGGUUUAAUUACGAUGCAACGCGAAGAACCUUACCUACUCUUGACAUCCAGAGAACUUUCCAGAGAUGGAUUGGUGCCUUCGGUACGUACUGAGACAGGUGCUGCAUGGCUGUCGUCAGCUCGUGUUGUGAAAUGUUGGGUUAAGUCCCGCAACGAGCGCAACCUUACUCCUUGUUGCCAGCGGUCCGGCCGGGUAACGUCAAAGGAGACUGCCAGUGAUAAACUAGGAGGAAGGUGGGGUAGUGACGUCAAGUCAUCAUGGCCCUUACGGAGUAGGGCUACACACGUGCUACAAUGGCGCAUACAAACG